CCACAGCAGGAACUCCCAGAAAUACUUUUAUCCAAGUUUUCAAUCAGAAUUACUCAUCUCAGAGUUCCCGUCGUGGCGCAGAGGUUAACAAAUCCGAUUACGAACCAUGAGGUUGCAGUGCGAUUCCUGCCCUCACUCAGUGGGUUCAGGAUCCAGCGUUGCACUGCCGUGAGCUGUGGUGUAGGUCGCAGACGCGGCUCGGAUCCCGCGUUGCUAUGGCUCUGGCAUAGGCUGGUGGCUACAGCUCCGAUUAGACCCCUAGACUGGGAACCUCAUUGUGCCACGGGUGCAGCCCUAGCAAAGGCCAAAAAAAAAGGAUUACUCAUCUCAUUCUUCUUUAGGGUGGAAGCUGGUUCCCCCACCUCACCUCCUCGCCCCACCUUUUUUGUUCACAGUAAGUGGCAAAGGAGACAGAGUCCUUUGCCAUUCAAGUGGACUCUCCUUUGCCUCCACUGUCCUUGUCAGAGGGAUAAAAACAGCUAGGGAUGGAGCUGGAGGAGAACAGUUCCCCAGGCACCUUUCGCUUCAUUCAGCUUAUCUUGGCUGUCGCUUCCAGAGUCAGGGCCCAAACAAAAAGCCAUCCUUUGGUCCAUCCCGUAACAGGAGAAACAGCCGUGGGGUCACAUCGCUUUGGGUCGACUUCCUGGGCUGAGAAUAUGCUUCCCAGUUAGUGGUGGAACGUGUUUAUGCCACAGGGAUGCAAUUCACAAGAGGGAAAUUACGAAAAAUUCCUCAGGACAAACAGCCCAGUUCCUUCAGCAAAUAAUUGCAAGGAAAAGAAAAUCUAAGGGAACUCCAUAGUUUUAGAUAUUUAAGAUACAUACAAACCAUUUAGUGUAUAGUCUUUAAUUGGAAAAACUAUUAAAAAAAUCAAAAGACGGUUGGGAGUAUCUGAACACUGAUUGGUUAUUUGAUGGCAUUAAGGAAUUAUUGGGAAUACCUUGGGGUGUGAAAAAGGUAUUCUGAAUACAUUUGUAAUAUCUUUGUCUUUUAGACAUGCACAGUGGAAUAGCUAUGGAUGAAGUGAAUGACACAGAAGAUUUGUUUCCAAAUAAUCUGGGGGUGGCCAAAAGCUGGAUGGAAGGUAGAGGGUGUGUGAGUUUAUUGUAGUUGACCAUUACAGUAGGUACAAGAAAGUUCAUGAAUCAAAUCUAUUUUGUACAAAAUGGUGUUUUUCCAUAAUAGAAAUAUUUUAAAUGCCAGAGUAGAAAUACAUGUAAUUUUUGUUUGUUUUACCAGUCUCCCUGUAAUGAACUUGAAAUUCAAGCUGAAUGUGCCAGAUGGCGAGUGGAUAUAGAAUGGGCUUAUGUGUCUCAGGGAUAAGUGGAAGCUCGUUCAUUCCUCAUAGGUCCAAGGAAACCCUAUUUCUCCCUAAAGGCCAGUAAGACCUUUUCACUUUAGACAUUGCUUUGUUUUGUUUUGUUUUUUCUUUUUGUUUGGCUGCACCCCCAGCAGGUGGAAGUUCCUGGGCCAGGGACUGAACCUGUGCCACAGCUGUGACUGAGUCACAGCAGUGGCAACACCAGAUCCUUAACCCGCUGAGCCACCAGGAAACUCCAAUAGCCAUGGUUUGUUUGUUUGUUUUAAACAAAGAGUCAUAGCUUGAAGGGUUACUGAGGACUAGACUACCUCCUGGCCACCUUUCCUGCCUGAGAAGAAUGGCUUUCCCUGGCAGUUCACACUGUUGAGGGAAAUAGGAACCAGAGGCAGGUGGGCCUAGACGCUAGGUUCCAUUCAGUGGAGGCUCGUGACUGAUGCAUGGAACUGUGCUUCCCAGCACGCUCUCGUCCAUAGCCGUUGAGCCAUUUGGGCCUCUCUCUCAGUUAAGACUCAGAGAGAAGUGAAAUAAUGGGUUUAAUAUCAUAUGGCCUAUAAGUGGUGGAAGUGGGACUUACACCCAGGUCCUCUCUGGUUUCAAGCCCGAGCUCCUAUACACUAUACAACAUUGCCUUCCCAGGGUUAGGGUUCCUCCCCUUAGGAUGCCCCAAUCCAAGGCUGCAAAUAAUAAUAGCUUGGGACUGUACUAGUUGCUCUACAUGCAUCAAUUCCCUUAACCCUCUUAAUGACUUUAUAAGAUACGUACUAUCCUUACGCCCAUUUUACAGACAGGAAAACUGAGGCCUCUUAUGUCACAGAAGUGAUCAAAUGAGACACUGAGAUUUAAACGCAUGUGUCCUCAAACUUUCGACUAUAUUUUUGGUGCUACUUCUUCUACUUACUGGAGGCAGACUGAACGUUUUUUCAGAAUCACCCAAAGAGACGCCUGGAAAUGACAAGGAAGAGACUUAGGCCAUCCGUGCGCUACAAGAAUGCCUUUGCUCUACAUUUUAGAAUCUCUUAUGUAAUUUUUCAGUUAUGGCAUUCACAUAGCAUUUAGAAUGGGCCGGCCUCUGCUAACCACUUCGCAAAUGUAAUCUCACCAAAUAUUCACAGCAGACGUGUGAACUGACUAGGUGCUAUUCUUAUUCGUCCUGUCUUACCAACGGGGGACUGAGGUACUUGCCAACACCCAGAGCUAAUAAAAUACAAAGCCAAGAUUCAACCAAGGCGGUCUUCUACCUCACCCUGUGCUUUAACCUCCGUCUACACCCCGAGCCUGGCACCUACACAGAAUCUCCUUACAGUAUGUCAGUGAAGGAGUGGUGCUGAUAAUCCCAAGGUCUUAACUCCAAGUAACAAAGACCAAACGGCCUGCUAUUGGCUAGAGUCUUGACCAAAAGGUAGUAACCGAUUCUAACUGGGACUCCAAGGCACGUAUGGGUAAAAGCGAUCCACUCACCUGAGUCUGAACUGUCUUUUGGGAACGGACUUCACCUUUAUGAGAGUUGCAAUAGUAAGAGAGAAAAUACUAAAACUCAAUGUGAUAAAUGCCCUAUAGCUCUUAAUGCGUAAAAGAGGUCAAUACACAGUAGCUACUGACAUCCUCACGGACCCCUCCGAUCCAUCCCCUUCUUGUCCACGUCAUCGCGGGCGCCACAGCCCGGGGCGAAGGUCCCCUCCCUGGUUGCUGCAGUCGCCUUCCCGCUCACCCUCUCCACUCAGCCCACUCUCCCCACUGCACAACCCCCGCCCUCUGCUCUGCCACCGUGUGGGGCGUUCUCUCGCCCUCCCCGAGGGAGGAUUACCUUCCUGGGGCUGUUCAACCACGUGACGUGCUCUGGCCGAGGAAAUGCGCAUGCACGUGGUGUGUGUCAAUUCCAGAUGGGAUUGUUAAAAGCCAGUGUGUGUCCUGCCAUGCUCCUUCUCCCCCACGCUGACACAUCCAUCCAGCAAUGGGCCAGAUGGUAGCUGCUUUUCGCCCUGGGUCUUAGAAUGAGAAAAUUCUGUAUGAAAGCCCCAGGCAAUCCUGGACAGACACACAAAAUAAGACGUAAACCUUACAGUUUGUUGCAAGGCGGUGUGCUUUUGGACCUGUUUGUGUCGCAGCGUAGAUCUAGCCUAAUCCAACUGAUACAUGUUUUAUGAUGCUCUUGGGGUAGGACAAAACUCCCUAAUAUGCCUGCAAGGCACCCAACUAUCUUAUUUUUUUUUUCUUUUUUUCUUUUUUGGCUGCCUCGCAGCACAGGAGAUCCCCGGCCGGGGAUCAGAUCCGAGCUGCAGUUGUGACCCAAGCUGCAGCUGCAGCAAGCUGGAUCCUUUUAACCCACUGUGCUGCAGAUCGUUUGAAACUGCAUCCUGGUGCUGCAGAGACGCCACAGCAGGAACUCCUCAAAUAUCUUGAUGUCAUCAUGAAACUUCAUCUUAUAUCCUAUUUCUUCUCUUUUUCUCCUCUUCAUUCAAACAGGCCUUCUUUCAACCCCCUCCUAGUGCUACUACAGGCUCUUUGUACAUGCUCUUCCCUCUGCCCAGAGCAUUCUCCUCAUUGCCCACCUCUUUUGCCCGGUUAAUUUCUAGCUAUCUCACUAGUCUCAAUUGGCUUUCACGACAGCAUAUAUCCUUUGUAGCAUUUAUCACAACUGCAUGCAUACUUUUGCUGCUGUUGGUUUGAAUAAUGCUUAUUUUGCUCACUAGACAGUAACCUUCCUAAAAAUAUUUGCUCUGUCUUUAUUUACUUGCUCUCCCUGGCCCCUGGCAUAGACUCUGGUAUGUAAUAUAUAUUCAAAGAAAUUUGUUGAAUAAAUCAAUCAAUAUAUUAUAGUGAUUAUGGGACGGAAGUUGGAGACAGACUUCUUGGAUUCAAAUCCUAUCCUGCCAUUUAUUUGUUCUAUGAUCUGGGGUCAAUUAUCAAAUUUCUCUCUGCCUCAAUUUCCUCAUCUGUGAAAGGGAGAUUAUAAAUAGUACAGGAGUUCCCAAAGUGGCUCAGCAGGUCAAGAACCAGAUGCUGAGUCUCUGAGGAUAUAGAUUUGAUCCAUGGCCUCACUCAGUGCGUUAAGGAUCUGGCAUUGCUGCCAGCUGCGGUUGCAGAUGCAGCUCAGAUCUAGCAUUGCCAUGGCUGUGGUGUAGGUUGCAGCUGCAGCUGCGAUUCGACCACUAGCCGGGGGAACUUCCAUUUGCCACAGACGUGGCCAUAAAAAAGAAAAAAAAAAAGAAAAAAAA
ensembl:lncRNA